UACGUAGGGUGCGAGCGUUGUCCGGAAUUACUGGGCGUAAAGAGCUCGUAGGUGGUUUGUCGCGUUGUUCGUGAAAACUCACAGCUCAACUGUGGGCGUGCGGGCGAUACGGGCAGACUGGAGUACUGCAGGGGAGACUGGAAUUCCUGGUGUAGCGGUGGAAUGCGCAGAUAUCAGGAGGAACACCGGUGGCGAAGGCGGGUCUCUGGGCAGUAACUGACGCUGGAGGAGCGAAAAGCGUGGGGAGCGAACAGG
rnacentral:rRNA from 1 species